ensembl:lncRNA
GUCAGUGUAAACAUUCUGAACUUAAUAUUGAAUGGAUAGUCUUCUUGAACAAUAGUUCAUUCACCCUUUUUGCCCAGGCAUUGAAAUGCCUAUUAAGAGAGAGGAGGAAAGAGUUAGAAUGAGAAGCAGAGGAAAAGAUACAUUUUUGUCCACCAAAUCCUUUUCAAGUCUGUUUGAGCUCUAGCACUGCAGCCACCCACUGAGAGGCCUCGGCGCACUGUGGGUGAUGAAAUAAACGGGGGGAAAGCAGAUGCUUGGGUCUGGAAUGCCUUCCGCAGCCUGAAACAAUUUUAGGGUGGAGAGGAACGAACAGCCAGAGAGGGAUGUAUUGAGAGGGCGAACAAAGAGGAAUGUGUGAUAUAUGGUGGAUUUAUACAUUCAGUAAUGCCUAUAUGUUUGUGGUGCGAGAUCAGACGCUUUGCUACUUUAGUAUUAUUUUUAGUAUUUAUUAAUAUUGUGAAUUAGCUUUUUUGGUAACACUUUAGAUUAGGGAAUACACAUUCACUAUUAACUAAGAGUUUUCCCUCAAUAAACUAUUAAUGACUGCUUGUUGAUAGUAAGAAAGGUAGUUGUUGUAGUAGUUAUGUAAAGAUUUUGGGUAUAAGGAAUCUAAAAUAUGGUCAUGCAGAAUAAGGUAUUAAUAUGUGCUAAGUACUAUUAAACAGCCAAUAUGCCAGUAAUAUGCAUGCUAAUAAGCAACUAGUUAAUGGUGAAUAGUGCUCCCUAAUCUGAAGUGUUACCAGC